CCUACGGGUGACAGCAGUGAGGAAUAUUGGUCAAUGGGCGAGAGCCUGAACCAGCAAAGUAGCGUGAAGGAUGAAGGCCCUACGGGUGGUAAACUUCUUUUAUAAAGGAAUAAAGUGAGGCACGAGUGCCAUUUUGUGUGUACGUUAUGAAUAAGGAUCGGCUAACUCCGUGCCAGCAGCCGCGGUAAUACGUAGGAUCCGAGGGUUAUCCGGAUUGAUUGGGUUUAAAGGUAGCGUAGAUGGGUUGGUAAGGCAGUUGGGAAAGUGUUUGGCUUAACCGUCAAAUUGCAAUUGAAACUGGCAGCCUUGAGUACAGGUGAGGUAGGCGGAAUUCGUGGUGUAGCGGUGAAAUGCUUAGAUAUCACGAAGAACACCGAUUGCGAAGGCAGCCUACUAAACUGCCACUGACAUUGAUGCACGAAAGUGUGGGUAUCAAACAGGAUUAGAUACCCUGGUAGUC
rnacentral:rRNA from 1 species